AUGAACCCACGAGCUCCUGGUUGGAAUAAGAGGUUGAGGAUCGGUGCUGCCGCACCGAGCCGCCCACCAUGCCCAAACCGUGUCAGUGCAUUCGAGAAGGCUGUUCGGAACUAUGCUGAGAAUCCAAGAGACAAUGUGGUCACUCCGACUAUCGGCACGACAUUUGACUCGGUUGGAGAGGCAUAUGACUUCUACCAUUUGUAUUCCUGGGAGAAAGGUUUUGGCAUUCGUUAUGGCAAGAGCCGGCUGAAUGUGGAGAGGACAAAGUGCAUGCAAGAAAUAGUUCGUGGUUGCUCGGGCAAAGCUGGUGUUGAGAAUACAAGAUCAUGUCGAUGCGAAUGCCGUGCUCUGAUAAGGCUGCUACCAGCAGAAGAUAAUGGUUGGUUUAUUGCAGAGCAUAGGGAUACUCACAACCACUCACUGUCGCCAAACUUUGGCGAGACACUCGAUUAG
rnacentral:rRNA from 1 species